UACGAAGGGGGCUAGCGUUGUUCGGAAUUACUGGGCGUAAAGCGCACGUAGGCGGACUAUUAAGUCAGGGGUGAAAUCCCGGGGCUCAACCCCGGAACUGCCUUUGAUACUGGUGGUCUAGAGUCCGGAAGAGGUGAGUGGAAUUCCGAGUGUAGAGGUGAAAUUCGUAGAUAUUCGGAGGAACACCCGUGGCUAAGGCGGCUCUCUAGUACGGUACUGACGCUGAGACGCGAAAGCGUGGGGAGCGAACAGG
rnacentral:rRNA from 1 species